UUGAAAUUCUAGAUAAACUAUUCCCUG
rnacentral:tRNA from 1 species